AUUGAACGCUGGCGGCAUGCUUUACACAUGCAAGUCGAACGGUAACAGGUUAAGCUGACGAGUGGCGAACGGGUGAGUAAUGCAUCGGAACGUGCCCGAUCGUGGGGGAUAACGCAGCGAAAGCUGCGCUAAUACCGCAUACGAUCUGAGGAUGAAAGCGGGGGACCGUAAGGCCUCGCGCGAUCGGAGCGGCCGAUGUCAGAUUAGGUAGUGGGUGGGGUAAAGGCUCACAAAGCCAACGAUCUGUAGCUGGUCUGAGAGGACGAACAGCCACACUGGGACUGAGACACGGCCCAGACUCCUACGGGAGGCAGCAGUGGGGAAUUUUGGACAAUGGGCGAAAGCCUGAUCCAGCAAUGCCGCGUGCAGGAAGAAGGCCUUCGGGUUGUAAACUGCUUCUGUACGGAGCGAAAAGGCUCUCUCUAAUACAGGGGGCUCAUGACGGUACCGUAAGAAUAAGCACCGGCUAACUACGUGCCAGCCGCCGCCGUAA
rnacentral:rRNA from 1 species